rnacentral:lncRNA from 1 species
ACUGCACCCGGCCGAAACUUUUAUUUUUAUUCCAUACUUUUGUUUUGCUUCACAUUUUAAGAAACAUGCAGAAGUUGUACAACUUACAAAAUUUUUAAGUUUUAUUUUUUUAAGUUAAAAUAAAAGAAAGGAAAAAAGAGGUAAGGAAAGAAACUAAAGUCUCUCUUGCAACCUCUACCUCCCAGGCUUGAGUGAUACUUUCACCUCAAGUAACUGGGACCACAGGGUGUACCACUAAACCCAGCUAAUUUUUUUGGUGGUUUGUUUGUUUUGUAGAGAUAGGGGUUUCACCAUGUUGUCCAGGCUGAUCUUGAACUCAUGGAAUCAAAAGCAAUCCUCCCGCCACAGCCUCCCGAAAUGCUGGGAUUGCAGCCGUGAGCCACCAUAUCUGGCCAUUUCUGAAACAAUUAAUUCACUAUGUGGUCAUGCCAGAUUUUUUCUUAGGAACUAAAUAACACAGAAACUCUUUUGAUCCAACACAUAUGAACAAAUAUUUAUAAUAGUCCAAUUUUUUACUGUAAAUUUACAUUUAAUGUAUAUUCGUAUACAAAAGUCCUAGUGCAAAUACAGUUUCAAAUGUUCAAAUGCCAUGUGAAUUUCAAAAAAAAAAAAAUACUGCUCUGAAAAAAAUUGCAUUUUCUAAAUUGCACACCAAAUUUAUUUAAAUCAUAAAAUAGCAAAACACUCUUAAAUAAAUACCUAUUUUAAAAAGUAGUUAUAAGGCAGUAAAAUAAACUAUUCAAAGGCACUUAUGCACAAUGCAGUUUCAAAUCUUUGAGUUAAGAGUACACUUAAAAGUAAUGGGUACACAGAGCUUUAUUUUGCUUUUCUGUCUGUUUUUAUAUAUGUUUGAAUAUUCUCAUAGUUAAAAAAGGUUUUUAAAAAUGUACUUCACAAGGUUAAUGCUUCCUAUCAUCACCAGUAGAGAGUAGAUGAUUGCUAUAAUUAUAUAUUACUUAUUAGUAUUUCAUUAUUGGUAUAUAUUUUAUACACAACAUAUAAUAGUUUCUAUUCCUGGAAACCAACUAUGCACAAAAUGCUUCAUAAUCACUAUUUGACAUAACAACCUUAUGAGGUUAGUGGUUUUAAUAUUGUCGUUAUAUAGAUGAAGAAAUAGCAACUCUGAGAAAUGAAGCAACUUGUUUGAGAUUACGAAUUUAGAAAAUAGGAAAUUAAUGCUUUAAAUCCAUGUGUAUAUGACUCCAAAGUCUAUGUUAUUCAUGUCUACACUACUGUGUUUCACAAAAAGCAUGGCUUGUUUUGAAUGUUCUCUACCAUUAUUUUGAAACUUACUCUCUUUCACUGAUAAUCAUUGUGUGACCUAGAGUCGGUCAUUUCUCCUCUAGGUCCACCAGUUGUGCCAUAUUUUUAAUGUGGGAAACUUUGAUUUUGAAUCAGUUGAACCAAAAUAAUUUGAAAUGGUUGGACCAAAGCUCAGAUGAGUUUGCAGAUCAUCUUAUGUGAGAGUGUUUAUAGAAAUUCCUGAAAUAGGUACUACACAGAUGAAACCAACUCAGACCUGUCAAAAUUACUCCAAAUUAUUGGGACCUAAGUAAUUAUGUUUUAUCAAAAUUGUUAAGUACAGAAUCACUUCAUAGAAGAAACGGUCAAUUAACAGACUACGAAGGUGAAAGGUGAAUAAUAAAUGAAGUUUAAGAACAUCAGUUAGAUUUAUUCAUUUAACAAACACUUAUUGAGUUAAAAUUCAAGACACUGCAGGUAUAGAGGAAAAAAAGAGUAUUCUUUCUCUGGAAGUUUACCAUCCAAAAGCAAGAAAGACUUGAAAUGAAUUACUCCAUUAUGUUGCUCAAGCAUACCAUAGAAAUACCGUAGAAAACGUGGCACCAGAAGAUACCAUAGAAGUAGCAGUGGCACCAGGGGUACCAUAGAAGAAGUGGCACCAGAAGGCAUCGCAGGACAUAGAGAGUUAAAUUAAGACACAGAGGGUAAAUAAAACCAUGUCACAUUUUCAAGGUCAAUAUUAACAAUAUCCAAUUUUUACUAAACAUUCAAAUCUACACAUUUUUGGAAACACUGUGGUGAUUCCUUAAAAAAUUAAACAUAGAAUUACCA